rnacentral:rRNA from 1 species
GGGAAUAUUGCACAAUGGGGGAAACCCUGAUGCAGCGACGCCGCGUGAGUGAAGAAGUAUUUCGGUACGUAAAGCUCUAUCAGCAGGGAAGAAAAAAAGUCCUUUGGACUUUGGACGGUACCUGACCAAGAAGCCCCGGCUAACUACGUGCCAGCAGCCGCGGUAAUACGUAUGGGGCAAGCGUUAUCCGGAUUUACUGGGUGUAAAGGGAGCGUAGACGGCAGCGCAAGUCUGGAGUGAAAUGCCGGGGCUCAACCCCGGAACUGCUUUGGAAACUGUGCAGCUCGAGUGCAGGAGAGGUAAGCGGAAUUCCUAGUGUAGCGGUGAAAUGCGUAGAUAUUAGGAGGAACACCAGUGGCGAAGGCGGCUUACUGGACUGUAACUGACGUUGAGGCUCGAAAGCGUGGGGAGCAAACAGG